rnacentral:lncRNA from 1 species
UUUUGUAUUUAGGAUCAAUUUGUUAUAAAUUGUUAUAACUAUAUAUAUUAUGUGUAUCUUUAAAUCUUUCAAAUAUGAGAAACUAAAUGCUUUUUACCUUGAAUGUAGGGAGUAUCUAUUAAGGAAGGUUCCAAUUGAGAGAUUUCGGGUCAAAUGCUCAAUUAAGGUAAGAUCCGAAAUUGAUUUUUCCGGGUCGUAAACAAUUAAUUCCGGGUCAAAAUUAAAAUUUUUUUGACCCGAUUAGGGACCCCAAAAACUGUUGCAAAAAUGUAUAGUAGAUAGUUUAGUAUUUUUUUGAUGAAACAUAUUUAUCUAUGGGUCUAGUUGUAUCUUUUGCACACUUUAUCACAUUUUGUCUAAAUCUUGCUCUUCUUCUUCUGGUUGAUGUGGCAUGCUUGCAUUGAUCUUCUUAUCCUCAUGUUCUAUCCUAAUCUUUGGUUCUGCAUAUCCAGAGAGACCAGCAAAAGGUUAUCAAACAAAAUACACUACAUUUUGUUGUUAGCAAAACCUUACUUUCGUUCGUAAUUGCUCGGCGUGUGCAAUCCAAGAACUCUUCCCAGCUUUGCUAUUUGAGUUCUCGUUUAUCUUCUUCCGAGAGCUCAAAGUUCGGCUCCUCCCACACGAAAGCAGCCCUAAUAGAGGUGAUAAUUAUCAAUGUCAAUGAUUUACUUGAAGUGUCUAGAAUCCGAAGAUUGCGAAAAAAACGAAAAGAGUUUUACCUAUCGUAUAAACGAAAGAGGUGAUAUUUAUAUUAUGGUAAUAUUUUAAUUUUAGUUUGUUUUUUUUUGCCUCAAAUUUUUUAUUAUAAUUAUAUUUUUAAUUAAAAAAAAAAAAGGGAUCCGGACCCUAAUAUAUGGAUUUGGCCCAGCCCUAACUAUUGUUGCUCUGGACGAGGGUGUUACUUUUGAAAUUCUUUCUUUCUAGAGACUUCUUUCAACCCUUUGAUAUUCUGUUUUAAAUUUGUCAUGUCUUCUUCUCCAUUAUUUUGGUUUUCUUCUAUUUCUAUGGUUGAGUACUUUUCCAAUUGGGUUCAUGGAUUUCAAAAGGGAGAUUUCAUAAUUGAAUGAUUGUUAGGUUGUUACAUUUGGAUUGAUUAUUUUUGUUAUUCAUCUAUGGUUAUUCCUAUUGUUUAGUCUAUAUUGAUCACCAAUAUUUUAUCUUAGGUUUAAUUCUUCGGUACAUCAAAAGUGUUGUUGUAUUACUAGAAAGACCAUAGGUGAGCUAAAUGUCCUUAACCAACGAAAUUGGAAUUUAAGACAUGAACAAAUCAAACUCGACUUUAAUGCUUGCUUGAAUUUCUAUUGAAAAAUAACGGCUUAAUUUCUAGGAAUUUCAUUGCAUAGAUAGUUUUUUUUUUUCCUAAUCUCUUUUACCUAUUGAUUUACAACUGUUUAUAUUAUUUUAUUUUUUUGUUAGUCUCCAUGUUUCCGACAAAAACUUCAAUUGCAUCUUUGCUUAAUUUAAACCAAAAUAAUUCAUCAUGUGAUCACUUGGUUCUUCAAAAUUUUGAUAUUUGCUUGUUUUGUGAAGCUGAUUUUUAAUUGCAUCUUUGCUUAAUUUGAGUCAUCUAGUAAUAUUUUUCAUGUUAUUUAGUGCCAUUUAUUUUGUGGUUAAUGAAGCUUGCCAGGGAAAUGAGAUCGUAAUUAAGAACCAACUCGGUUCUAGUAGAAUUCUCCAAUAUAAUUGCCACAUCGGGAAAAUAAACUUAAGAGUCAAACAUUUAAACUUCAACGGUACAGGAUCCAUUAAAUUCGGUGAUGAUGGAACUGAGCGAUCGCAUAUGAAAUGUCUUUUCAGGCAAGGAAUUAACAUGAAGUUUUUUUACUGAGGUUGAGGUGUACUGUCCAGUUUUAAAGCAUCCUAAAUGUGGUCUACGAUAUGAAUAUAGUGCAAAAAUGGAUGCAAUAUAUUUUAAAAGGGAUGCAUCUCCGCCAUUACCUCUAAAAUGGCGUUCAUAAUGUGCUUUAUUUUGUCUAUAAAACUUACGUUUUUAUGCAAUUGUAUUCCAGCUUAUGACCUCUCAAAUAAGCCAUAAAAACUAAUUUUCUUAUUAAAUUGUUUUUUUUUUAAUAGAUAGCGCAUUUGAGAGUCUCUUGUCACUCUCUCUUCUCUCUUUUUAUUAGUUUCUAUUUUCUUAAUGGCCGGUGAGUCUCUUAUUUUUCUCUUCAUUUUCUAUGAGCAAACCAACAGAGAUGCUCUUAGUGAUCUAUGACAAUAAUUUUCUUUUCCUGUUUUUUGAUUUAUAUUAUAUUAAUUUUUUGGAUGAAACAAUAUUAUCUCUUGAGCUUCUUGUAUUAAUUCAAUAAAUUUCAUUGUAUAUGAGUUUGGUUGUAUCUUCUGCACAAUUCAUUACAUUUUGUUUUAAUCUUGCUCUUAUUCUCCGGGAGGACAUCGCUUGCUUGCAUUGAUCUCCUUAUCUUUAUGUUCCACUAGAAGAAAAUCCGGGCUACGCCCGGUAUAUUUGUAAAUUUUAAUAAUUUAAAAAAAAUCUUUUUAUGUUUUCUUUUUUUUUUGGGAAACUUCUAUACGUUUUAACAUACAACCUAUAUGGAAAAAUAAAUAUGAACUUGAAAUAGUUUACGCUAAUUAAUAUUAACAAAAUAAAAAGGAGUGUAAUAGAAAUAGCUUUUAAUAACUGUAAAUAAACUUUGGAAUUUCUGACACUUUUUAAUUUAUUUUUACUCAUGUGCAUCUAAGGUUUUUUUCUUCUAAAAAUAUAUACAUAUAGAAUUUGUAGUGUUCAGUUUAAUUGGUUGAUUAUUUGGGAUGAUGGGUAGUAUUAGUAACUUAAUUUGGUGGUUAACUUUUUUUAUUUUCUCAGGCAAUGUAUACAGCUUAAAACAUUAUUUGGCAUUAGAGGUUUGGUAGCAUAUUUGUUACAUUUUGUGUAGAUGGUGAUUAUUCUUUAAUUAAACUAUUUUUUGCUCCAUGUUAAGUAUAUUAUAUAUGCUAAAAAUUUAAAGUCCAUGAUGGUCCUGAAACAGAAUCCAUUUCAGAAACUCUAAUACUUUAAGUCUCAAACUUUACACGUUGGUCCCAAACCAAAGCUUGUAACCAACUCACUAAACUAAAACCAACUCAAAAUGAAGCAAAAUACACACUUUACAUUUCAGGACCUUCUUCACCAUUUUCAGCAAUCCUAGGAACUUUAUUCAUCCCCGACUUAAACUUAAACGAAGCAUUCCCGCGUCCAUCCCUCCCUCCAGGAAACAACAAUGCCCUAUGUCCCGGAUGCAGCAACUCCAAAAGCACCUCCUUCUCCUCCCCUUCCUCACCCUCCACCUCACUCCCAACCUCUCUAGCCUAUCUCACCACCGACCCAGGAGCCACUUUCAUGACAACAAUAUCUCCUUUAGCUCCACUCUGCAUCUUCCCUCUCCCAUUUUCCACACGUCCCGCCAUGAAAUGCACAGUCUUACGAAACGGCAAUAACGAAUUCAUAGACCCAUCAACCUCUACAUACCCAUUCCCACCUCUUCCUCCAUCUCCACCUGAAGGUCCUCCAAAACGAACAAACUUUUCUCUCCUAAACGCCACCACACCAUUCCCUCCAUCUCUGGAUCUAACAUAUAUCUUGGCUCUAUCGAAACACCGCAUCGCCGGAACUACUUUCUCCUUCACCCCAAUUUAUCUAUUUGGAAUUACGUACCAUGGGAUGAUUUGAUGCUAUAGCAGCGCAGUAUAAUUCCAUUGAAUUACUACCUAAACCAUUUUGAAAAGAAAGGAAUUGCAUAUACUUUGUUUGGAAGUUAGGGUAAGUAGUUUACCAUUUUGUUUUGGAAGGUCAUUGUAGAUUUCCUUGAAGACCCAUCAAUAUGUCGCCUUUCUUCAAAUUCACGGCUUCCCAAUAAUGAAUUAGUCGGAGUAAGACUUCUUUCUCAGUUUCUCACAUAAACCUCCAUCAAUAUCAUCAAAAAUCUGAAAGGUGAAUGGCUGGGGAGACUGUUGAGCUUUAUUUGGUGCCAUGUUUUGGUCGUAGUGACUGUUAGGAGUUUUUUUUUGUUUCUUUGUGUGAUGGGUGAUCUGUGGUUUUAUAGUGAAACUUGAAUCGAUGUUAAUGAAGGUAGUAGUGGCCAUUUAUUUCAUUUUGUGUGAAUGUAUGGGAGAGUGAAGAUAGGAAGUGGAGAAUCGAUAACAAUGGUUUUUUUCGUUUUGUUAGGAAGCUGAAGCGAUACAGAUUUAGAGGAUGGUGAAGAUGAAGGGUCUCUCUUCUUUCUUUUUUUUUUGUUACUGAAUUUAGGUUUUAGAUGGGUUAAUAUAAUAUCAGGUAAUUUAGAAAUUACAGUAUUAAGUCUUCAUGUCAAGUGUUGAGCGUAUGGGCUUUAUUAGGUUGGGCUUCUCUUAUCUUUUUUAAUAUGAAAUGUUGUUUUGUGCUUCUGUUGGGCUGCAGUUUCUGUUUAAUUUUUUUUUUGGUAGCUGCUGACGUGUCCAUUAGAUAGAGUGUUUAGAGAAUAGCUGAUGUGGACACAUUGAGAGGCCUCAAUGAAUUCCUUUUAUUAGUAAUAGAUCCUUCUCUUUGAUUUUGCAUAACCAAAGAGCCAAGAAAUGUUGGACAGACAAAAUACACUGGAGUUUGUUAUUAAUAAAGUCGUACUUUUGUUUGUAGUUUUUCAGUCUGUGCAAUCCAAUAACUAUUCCCAUCUUUGAUGUUUCAAUUCUCGUUUCUCUUCUUCCGAGAGCUUAAAGUUUAAUUGGUUCUCUCCCAUACAUGAAAAUUAGAGGCAAUAAUUUUGUAACAGUCGUCAUAAUGACGUGAACAAGAGUCAAAACGUAGUAAUGUUGUCGGUAGAAGGAAAAGAAGUAGUUAUGGCUUGGAAUCAAGGAGUGGAAGAAGAAGCUUUUUGUGAAAAGAGAAAACGGCAGUCAUGAAUUCGGUUUUUAACUAUUUAUGCUAUGAUAAAAGAUGUAGAAUGGAACUUAUAUUUCCUUAAAUAACCAGUCUUAAGGAUUACAAGAGAGAUUAGUUGACCAUUUUUUCCUUUAUAAGAGAGGUUUUUUUUUUUCUUUUUUUUUUUUUUUAAAUUUAAUAACCACAUAUUAAUUAAAAGCUAAACUCCAUGAUUUGUUACCCAAUCUGGAGGAAACGAGUUUACAAACGUGACUUCAGAUAGUAAUACUCUAGAGUAUCAAGUUAGACAAUCCGCCUUAGAAUUACAUAAACGAGAAAUAUAGGAGAUCGAAAAAGGAGAAAGAAAUCACAGAGCAAUCCAAACUCAUCGAGUUGAUUGGAGAAAGCUAGCCAUUCUUCAUGAGACUGCGCCAUCGAGACUAACUCUAUACCAUCUGUUUCAAAUGCCUGACAGUCUUUCCUUCUUGAAAGGAUAUAUUUCGUAGCCCAAAUUGAAGCUUCCAUCUCUGAAUGCAGGGGGAGGGAUACCUCCGAAAACACUUUUCACCAAGAAGUAUUGUUUGAUCAUUUUCUUGUAAACACCACCACCGUAGUCCCAUUGUUGGAUCCGUAGAUUUCCAUGAACCAUCAAUCCGACAGCUAAGGGAUUGCGUCGAUUGAGCCAGUGUUUUCCUAUUAACACUCAAUUUAAUCGGAUCCAUCUGAGUUUCUUCCCACAAUAACUUCUCGCUCAAAGCAUGAUUUAAAAUACCUGGGGGAUCAUAUUGUAAUUCGAUCGAGGUUUGAUAUAUGAAAGUGGUUAUUUUUCAAAAAACAAAAUUUAAAAAAUGAUAUCAAAGAAUUUUCAAAAAUAAACAUUUAAACACUAAUAAAAUGAUCAAAUUCAAGUCAUAAUUUUUUAAAAGUGUUGGGGCAUACGCGAAAACUCUUACCCAAGUAAUAUUCAAGUGGUUGCCACAAGGAAUGACGUCUCUGACGAGAAUCUAGGAAUGAAUGGGGAUCCCUAUCAAUAAGAAUAUGAGGGAUUAGCAUUGUUGACCCAAUGAUAAACCACUAACACCUUCCUCGUUGGGGCUCCGCGCACGCAAAAGCAAAGACCCCUCCGCUAGAUUCAACUUCCUUGUGCUUUCUGGAUACCUUUCCAUGCUUUUUAACAAGCCAGCUAUUUUGUUUGAUAGAGAGGGAUAGAAAAAAUAGACAAAAAACUGAUGUAGGCGGCAUCUCCUCUUAGUUUUGAGUAGGUGGGACUUAUAUCUUUGGUGGAUGAUAUAACUGCUAAUUUCAGAGAGAUCAUGGGGAGCGGUUUGUUGCCAUUGAACUCCCUAGUUGAAGUAUAAUAAAUCUUUGCAACAUAUAUCAAGUUGUAAUUCCUUUACCGUGAGUUAGAUUUUUUCUAUCCAUAUAUUAUAUGAAUCAAUAUAAAUAUUCAAAAUUUUUGUUAACUUUAAUAUAUCCGAUGAGCUUCUUGUAUUUAAAAAAAAUAUUUCUUUGAGUUUGAUUGUAUCAUUUGCACGAAUAGUCUCAUUUUGUCUGAAUUCUUCAUGCGAGAAGAAAGAGACUUGAAAAUGCAUAUCUUGACAUGAGAAGCUUGAAUGUCUUGGGAGGUAAAGCUUUGGUAAACAAGUCAGCUAGCUGAUUAUCGGUGGUAACAUGCAUGAGAUUCAGAAAACCAGCUCUCAGUUUAUCACGAACUAUGUGGCAAUCAAUCUCAAUAUGUUUUGUGCGCUCGUGAAAAACUGAAUUAGAGGCUAUGUGAAUUGCGGCAGUACUAUCACAGUAUAUAGUUGCAGGACCACUGAUGUGAACAUGAAGAUCCUUCAAGAGUUUACUCAACCACAGCAAUUCACAAGUUGUAUCAGCCAAAGCUCUGUAUUAUGACUCUGCACUACUUCUUGAGGCAGUCUAUUGCUUCUUGCUUUCCAAGAAAUCAAUGAAUCUCCAAGAAAAACACAGAAACCCGUCGUAGAUCGUCUUGUAUCUUGACAUGUACCCCAGUCUACGUCUGAAAAGGCUUGUAAACGAAUCUCAGAAUGUGCAGAAUAAAACAAUCCACGACCCGGAUCUCCUUUCAAAUACCUUAUCACACGAUGAGCUGCUUCUAGAUGGUGAGUUCUUGGCUGAGCUAAGAAUUGACUCAGUUUAUGAACUACAUAAGUAAUGUCUGCUCUGGUGAUUGUAAGAUAUAGAAGUUUUCCUAUUAAAGCUCUGUAAACUGUUGCAUCUGGUAAAAUAUCCCCACUCUCUGCAUGUAAGUGAACAGUGGAGUCCAUUGGUGUUGCAACAGGUUUACAGCCAAGAAAACCUACACUUUCCAACAAAUCCAAAGUGUAUUUACGCUGACAAAGGGAGAUUCCUUCUUUAUUUCUGGCUAUCUCAAGUCCAAGAAAGUAUUUCACCUGACCAAGAUCCUUCAAUUUAAAAGCUGCAGCAAGAGUGGCUUUCAAUUGGCAAACAUCAUCAUCAUUGUUACUGGCAAUGACAAUGUCAUCAACAUAGACCAGUAGGGCAAUGAAAAUACCAUCAUUUUAUUUAACAAACAAAGUGUGUUCUGAUUCUGACUAUAGAAAACCAUCUCUCAGCAAAACAUCUGAAAAUUUCUUGUACCAUUGCCUUGAUGCUUGCUUCAAACCAUAUAAGGACUUAUGUAGCUUCCAUACAACAUUAGGUGGCAAAGUUUCUCCUUGAGGUGGUGUAUAACCAGGAGGCAAGUCCAUGUAGAUCUCUUCCUCUAGAUCACCAUGUAAAAAAUGCAUUGGUUACAUCCAUUUGUGUAAGAGACCAACCAUGCUUAGCAGCCAAAUCCAAUAGCAAUUUCACUGUGACAAGUUUUGCGACUGGUGAGAAAGUGUCUAUGUAAUCAACACCUUCUUGUUGAGUGUAGCCUUUAGCUACUAAGCGAGCUCUAUAACGAUCAACUGUUCCAUCUGCAUUGUGUUUUAUUCGAUAAACCCAUCUACAACCAAUCGGUUGUUUUCCUUCUGGUAGAGAAACAACUGAGAAAGUGCCAGUAUUAACACAGGUCUGAAGUUCCUCAUUCAUAGGAGCAUGCCAUUUUUCUGAUUUAACAGCCUCUUGAAAAUUCUUGGGCUAAGAUUCAGAAGAAAUAUUCAAUAUGAACUGUUGAUAAUGAUCAUUCAGUCUUGAAUAAUCCAACACAGAUUGCAGAGGAUGAGAGGUAUUACCACUGUCAUUUGAGAUGUGAUUGACCAAGUUACAGUGGUAAUCAUUCAGAUACGAUGGAGCACGAGUGUUCCUCUUAGGUCUGUUUCCAUUAACAGAAAUAGCAACCUCAGAAUCUAUUGAUGAAUUACUGUUAUCAGAUAAGACUUUAGAGGGAAAAGGAAUGGGUGAGUGUAUAGGAGAAGUAUCUGGUAUAGGAAGAGGAAGAAUAGUGGAAGAGAAAAGAUCAAGAGUGUUUGAUGAAAGCUCCAGAGAUUGAAAAGGAAAGAUAUCUUCAUGGAAAAUAACAUUGCGAGAAAUGGAAAUAGAAUGUGUUUCAAGGUUUAAGACUUUGUAUCCUUUAUAACCCGAGGGAUAACCAAGGAAAACUGAAGCUUCAGACCUUGGUGUAAACUUGUGUCUAUCCUUAGGAUAAGUAGACACAUAACAAAGACAUCCAAAAGCUUUAAGAUUGGAAUAAAGUGGUUUCUUUUUGAGCAAAAUUUCAAAAGGAGUUUUAUUGUUUAGCAAAGGAGAUGGAGUUCUGUUUAUAAGAUAUACAGAAGUUUUAAUGCAGUCACUCCAAUACUCUAAAGGCACAUUUGAUUGAAAAAGAAGUGCUCGAGCCACAUUGAGAAUGUGUUG